AUUGAACGCUGGCGGCAGGCCUAACACAUGCAAGUCGAGCGGAUGAAGGGAGCUUGCUCCUGGAUUCAGCGGCGGACGGGUGAGUAAUGCCUAGGAAUCUGCCUGGUAGUGGGGGAUAACGUCCGGAAACGGGCGCUAAUACCGCAUACGUCCUGAGGGAGAAAGUGGGGGAUCUUCGGACCUCACGCUAUCAGAUGAGCCUAGGUCGGAUUAGCUAGUUGGUGGGGUAAAGGCCUACCAAGGCGACGAUCCGUAACUGGUCUGAGAGGAUGAUCAGUCAAAUUGAAAUGAGAACACGGCCCAGAUUCCAACGGAAGGCAGAGUGGGGAAUAAUUGAACAUGGGGGGAAGGCUGAUUCCAGCAAGGCGCGUGGUUGGAAGAAGGCCUCCGGUUGGUAAAGCACUUAAGUUGGGGAGAAGGGGAGUUAGGUUAAUCCCUGCCUGUUUGGACGUACCAACAGAAUAAGCACCGGCUAACUUCGUG
rnacentral:rRNA from 1 species